rnacentral:rRNA from 1 species
GACGAACGCUGGCGGCGUGCUUAACACAUGCAAGUCGAACGGAAAGGCCCCUUCGGGGGUACUCGAGUGGCGAACGGGUGAGUAACACGUGAGUAACCUGCCCUUGACUUCGGGAUAACUUCAGGAAACUGGGGCUAAUACCGGAUAGGAAUCCUUGCUGCAUGGUGGGGGUUGGAAAGCUUCGGCGGUUUUGGAUAGACUCGCGGCUUAUCAGCUUGUUGGUGGGGUAGUGGCUUACCAAGGCUUUGACGGGUAGCCGGCCUGAGAGGGCGACCGGCCACAUUGGGACUGAGAUACGGCCCAGACUCCUACGGGAGGCAGCAGUGGGGAAUAUUGCACAAGGGGCGGAAGCCUGAUGCAGCAACGCCGCGUGCGGGAUGACGGCCUUCGGGUUGUAAACCGCUUUCAGCAGGGGCGAAGCUUGUGGUGACGGUACCUGCAGAAGAAGCACCGGCUAACUACGUG